rnacentral:ncRNA from 12 species
CGGUAGUUCAGUUUGGUUAGAAUGCCUGCCUGUCACGCAGGAGGUCGCGGGUUCGAGUCCCGUCCGG